rnacentral:rRNA from 1 species
UGAGGCGAACGGAGGGAACUGAAACAUCUUAGUACCUCUAGGAAGAGAAAAUAAAUAAUGAUUCCCCUAGUAGUGGCGAGCGAACGGGGAAAAGCCUAAACCAACACUUGUUGUUGGGGUUGUAGGACUACUUAAUGAAGUUUGACAAAUAUUUACAUAUAGCAGAAUGAGUUGGAAUGCUUUAACAUAGAGGGUGAAAUUCCCGUAAGCGAAAUGUGUAAAUCUUCUAGUAGUAUCCUGAGUAGGGCGGGGCACGUGAAACCCUGUCUGAAUCCGCCGGGACCACCCGGUAAGGCUAAAUACUAACCAGACACCGAUAGUGAACUAGUACCGUGAGGGAAAGGUGAAAAGAACCCCGGGAGGGGAGUGAAAUAGAUUCUGAAACCAAUUACUUACAAUUAGUCAGAGCCCGUUAAUGGGUGAUGGCGUACAUCUUGCAGAAUGGACCGGCGAGUUAUGUCAACAUGCGAGGUUAAGUGGAUUAAAGCGAAGCCGUAGAGAAAUCGAGUCUUAACAGGGCGCUUUAGUAUGUUGAUAUAGACCCGAAACCAGGUGAUCUACCCAUGAGCAGGUUGAAGCUUAGGUAAUACUAAGUGGAGGACCGAACCGCAGUACGCUGAAAGGUGCCCGGAUGACUUGUGGGUAGGGGUGAAAUUCCAAUCGAACUUGGAGAUAGCUGGUUCUCCUCGAAAUAGCUUUAGGGCUAGCGUGUAAUGUUAAGUGGUGGGGGUAGAGCACUGAAUAUGGAAUGGCGACGCCUAGUCGUACUGACUAUAAUCAAACUCCGAAUACUGCCAUGUAUUAUUAUGCAGUCGGUACAUCGGUGAUAACGUCGAUGCACGCGAGGGAAACAACCCAGAUCGUCAGCUAAGGUCCCAAAAUUGUGUUAAGUGAGAAAGGUUGUGGAGUUUCUUAAACAGCUAGGAUGUUGGCUUAGAAGCAGCCAUCCUUUAAAGAGUGCGUAAUAGCUCACUAGUCGAGAGAUUCUGUGCCGAUAAUUCAACGGGACUAAAACACAAUACCGAAGCUACGGGCAGUGAUGCGUUAGAGGAGCGUUCUAAGGGCCUUGAAGCUAGACCGUAAGGACUAGUGGAGCGCUUAGAAGUGAGAAUGCCGGUAUGAGUAACGAUUCAAAGUGAGAAUCUUUGACGCCUAUUGGGGAAGGUUUCCUGGGCAAGGUUCGUCCACCCAGGGUUAGUCGGGACCUAAGACGAGACCGAAAGGUGUAGCCGAUGGACAACAGGUUAAUAUUCCUGUACUGAGUAAAAUGUGAUGGAGUGACGGAGAAGGAUAGUCUUACCACUUACUGGAUUGUGGGGUAAGUAUCAACUGGGCGUUGUAGGCAAAUCCGCAGCGCUUAACCGGGAGAUGUGAUGCAUAGUGAAAGGGUAACCAAGUAGCGAAUUAGAUGAUUUCAUACUUCUUAAAAAAGCUUCUAACUACAAAUUUUAUGAACCCGUACCGAGAACGAACACACGUCCCCAAGAUGAGUAUUCUAAGGCGAGCGAGAAAACCAAUGUUAAGGAACUCUGCAAAUUAACCCCGUAAGUUAGCGAAAAGGGGUGCCUAUGGUAACACAUAGGCCGCAGUGAAGAGUAAGGGGGAACUGUUUACCAAAAACACAGCUCUAUGCUAAGUCGCAAGACGAUGUAUAUGGGGUGACUCCUGCCCAGUGCCCGAAGGUUAAGCAAAGGCGUUAGCAAUGCGAAGCGUUGAUGUGAAGCCCGGGUGAACGGCGGCCGUAACUAUAACGGUCCUAAGGUAGCGAAAUUCCUUGUCGGCUAAAUACUGACCUGCACGAAAGGAGUAAUUAUCUCUUAACUGUCUCAACAUUGGACUCGGUGAAAUUAUGGUUGCGGCGAAGACGCCGCAUACCCGCAUCUAGACGAAAAGACCCCGUGGAGCUUUACUAUAACUUCAUAUUGGAGUUUGAUUUAACUUGUGUAGGAUAGGUGGGAGACUUUGAAGUAGGGACGCUAGUCCCUAUGGAGUCGACGUUGAAAUACCACCCUUGUUACAUUGAACUUCUAACUUGUUGCCAUUAUCUGGCAAGAGGACAGUGUGUGGUGGGUAGUUUGACUGGGGCGGUCGCCUCCCAAAGGGUAACGGAGGCGUUCAAAGUUACACUCAGUACGGUCAGAAACCGUAUUAAAGAGCAUAAAGGUAGAAGUGUGAUUGACUGUGAGACUUACAAGUCGAGCAGGUGCGAAAGCAGGACUUAGUGAUCCGGUGGUUCCGCAUGG